CAGAUUUGGAAUUCAAGGAAGAAAAGUAAACAUUACAGGAACAGAUGACUGUGUCCAGUUCCUCUCUACCUUCGGUCUUUAGUAGAGGUGGAAAAUGGCGCGAUUGGACGAGUUAGGUAAUGGGUCAAAGCUGGUAAUUUUUUUGUACAGGAGUUAGCCCCAAAUGCUUUUUGUCUAAUUUUAAUUGACUAGAAAACAUAUCCCUUUGUAUAAAUCUAAUGAAAACAUUUUUAGUGCUAAAGACUACAGAGAUGGCUAUGGGAAUGUUGGGUGGUUGAAUUUAAAUUGGUUAACCUUUUGAGGAAAAGGUUUGAUAGGGUCAACUUCAAAAGUAUAUUUCGGGUGAUUUUUGACGUAUUUAUUUUAACUAACUUUUGAUUAGUAAACGAUGCAUCGUUUCAAGAUGUAGCUCAUGCAACAACGUUAGCUGGUUUUUAAUUUGCACUACCCAGUUUACAGUAUGCAUAUCCCAAUCAACAAGAAACUUGAGGUCGCUGUUAAAAGAACAAGUAAAUCAUUCCCUCAAAAGGUAUGCCUCUGUGCCAUUCUAAAGUGGAGAAAGUAACUACAGAAGACCUCUUUGAGCUCUCAGAGAUUAAAAAGUACAACCUGGGAAUG